rnacentral:rRNA from 1 species
ACGCACGCUGGCGGCGUGCUUAACACAUGCACGUCGAACGCUGAAGCUUGGUGCUUGCACUGGGUGGAUGAGUGGCGAGCGGGUGAGUAAUACGUGAGUAACCUGCCCUUGACUCUGGGAUAAGCCUGGGAAACUGGGUCUAAUACUGGAUACGACAUGUCACCGCAUGGUGGUGUGUGGAAAGGGUUUUACUGGUUUUGGAUGGGCUCACGGCCUAUCAGCUUGUUGGUGGGGUAAUGGCUCACCAAGGCGACGACGGGUAGCCGGCCUGAGAGGGUGACCGGCCACACUGGGACUGAGACACGGCCCAGACUCCUACGGGAGGCAGCAGUGGGGAAUAUUGCACAAUGGGCGGAAGCCUGAUGCAGCGACGCCGCGUGAGGGAUGACGGCCUUCGGGUUGUAAACCUCUUUCAGCACGGAAGAAGCGAAAGUGACGGUACGUGCAGAAGAAGCGCCGGCUAACUACGUG